rnacentral:rRNA from 1 species
GACGAACGCUGGCGGCGUGCUUAACGCAUGCAAGUCGAACGGAAAGGCCCUGCUUUUGUGGGGUGCUCGAGUGGCGAACGGGUGAGUAACACGUGAGUAACCUGCCCUUGACUUUGGGAUAACUUCAGGAAACUGGGGCUAAUACCGGAUAGGAGCUCCUGCUGCAUGGUGGGGGUUGGAAAGUUUCGGCGGUUGGGGAUGGACUCGCGGCUUAUCAGCUUGUUGGUGGGGUAGUGGCUUACCAAGGCUUUGACGGGUAGCCGGCCUGAGAGGGUGACCGGCCACAUUGGGACUGAGAUACGGCCCAGACUCCUACGGGAGGCAGCAGUGGGGAAUAUUGCACAAUGGGCGGAAGCCUGAUGCAGCAACGCCGCGUGCGGGAUGACGGCCUUCGGGUCGUAAACCGCUUUCGCCUGUGACGAAGCGUGAGUGACGGUAAUGGGUAAAGAAGCACCGGCUAACUACGUG